rnacentral:rRNA from 1 species
UGAACCGGGAUGAGCCCAGCGCAUAACCUCGUGUCGUUGGCGGCACGAGGGGUGUUGCGUUUCGGAGGGUCCAGCACGCCGUGCCAUACCGUCUAAGUCAAGCUGGAAAGCUGCCGUCUCCCAUGGAGGGUGACAGGCCCGUGUGGCGGCGCCCGUGAGGGUACACAUGGCACGGUCGGAAAGGGCCUCUCUGUAGAGUCGGGUUGCCUAAUACUGCAGCCCUAAGCAGGUGGUAAACUCCAUCUAAGGCUAAAUAUUACCACGAGACCGAUAGCGAACAAGUACCGUGAGGGAAAGUUGAAAAGAACUUUGAAGAGAGAGUUCAAGAGUACGUGAAACCGUUAAGAGCCAAACGGAUGGAAACUUGAAGGUCGAACUGAGGCGAUUCAGGCCGUCGGCCGUCGGCGGGGUGCGGGUGUGUCCGUUAAGUCGGAUGCGACCCAGAGAAUGUUCGGGCGCGCCCGCACACCCAAGCUGGCGACGGUGAGCUUACUGUUCGAGCCCACGCUGGCGCCCCGGCGGGUGUAUUUCGCCUCGUAGUAGACCGCCGCGACCCGUUGCUGGGGACGUCGAAGGCCCAGGCGGAUUGGUAACCUUACCGCCUUCGACGCGACCGGCGGCUCAUGAUGCCGCCGGCUGCAGAGGAGGAGGAUUCAGGCGAAACCGCCUUUGGUGAUCCUGGCUGCCCUGCGACGGUCGUAGAGAGGAGAGCGGCCGGCCCCGUGCCAUGGCAGGGGGUUUAGGCCGCCCUUUCGCGGUGUUAUAAGCAUCAGUGUUCCAUCCGACCCGUCUUGAAACACGGACCAAGGAGUCUAACAUGUGUGCGAGUCAAUGGGCGUACUAAACCCAAAGGCGGAAUGAAAGUGACAGUGUCCGGCGCUCGUUGCCAUCGUUGUUCAAUGUUGACGACGGUGGUGCGGGCGUUUGGAACUGGGGCCGAUCCCCCGCCGGUUGCCUUGGUUUGGCGCCUCGUCAGGCCUCGCUUUCUUGUCCUUCCCUAGGCGGAUGCUUCGUCGUCAUGGCGUCGCGGCAGUCGAGGGCGGAGGGAACGGCGGGGCGGGGGCGGCGGCCUAGCGCGAAGGCGUGAGAUAUUCCUGUGUGUGUGCAGGAAGGGGCGCAGGCCGGGGACUUGCCAAAAGACGGCGCGCGAGGCUGGCGGUGCCGCUGCUACCAGCCGCUUGCGCAAGGGAGCGGCGGUGGCGGCGGUGCCGUUUUCGACUCGCGGUCAGUCGGCAAGUACCAUGAGCAUACAUGUUGGUACCCGAAAGAUGGUGAACUAUGCCUGGCCAGGAUGAAGCCAGAGGAAACUCUGGUGGAGGUCCGCAGCGGAUCUGACGUGCAAAUCGAUCGUCUGAGCUGGGCAUAGGGGCGAAAGACUAAUCGAACCAUCUAGUAGCUGGUUCCCUCUGAAGUUUCCCUCAGGAUAGCUGGAAAUCUCAACAUCAAUUUCAUCCGGUAAAGCGAAUGAUUAGAGGUCUUGGGGACGAAACGUCCUCAACCUAUUCUCAAACUUUAAAUGGGUGAGAUGCCGAGCUUGCUUAAAUGCUGAAGCUACGGCGAUUAAAUGUGAGUAUCUAGUGGGCCAUUUUUGGUAAGCAGAACUGGCGCUGUGGGAUGAACCAAACGUCGAGUUAAGGGGCCUAAAUGAAUGCUCAUUCAGAUCCCAUCGAAAGGCGUUGGUUGCUAUAGACAGCAGGACGGUGGCCAUGGAAGUUGGAAUCCGCUAAGGAGUGUGUAACAACUCACCUGCCGAAGCAACUAGCCCUUAAAAUGGUAUGGCGCUCAAGCAUUCUCCCGAUACUCGACCGCCGGAAAUAUGGCAUUGAGCGGCCACGCGCCGGUAAACGGCGGCGAGGUCUCGAAGCCCCGGUGAGUAAGAGGGUCGCAGUGGUGAGCGCAGAAGGGAUCCGGCGUGAGCCGGCCUGGAGCCGCCACUGGUGCAGAUCUUGGUGGUAGUAGCAAAUACUCGAGAGAGACUCCCUUGAGGACCGAUGUGGAGAAGGGUUCCAUGUGAACAUCAGUUGGACAUGGGUUAGUCGCUCCUAAGCCCACGGCUAAGGCCUGAUCCCAUGUUAGCGGCAAAUUGCAAACAAGCCAAGCAGCAGCUGCUGCUGCCGAGAAAUGUGACGAUGAUGAUGAUGAUGAUGAUGAUGAUAAUGCUGGUGGUGGGGCGGCACCAGCGGCAGCAGCAGCAGCAGCAGGAGCAGGAGCGGCGUGUAAAAAACAAUUUACACGGGCAAUACACAGCCAGUGCGAGGGGGCGCACGGCUGGAAGGGGCGCUCCAGUUGCCCGGGAUCAGUGGCGAAAGGGAAUACGGUAAUUAUUCCGUAACCAGGAUUCGGAUAAAAAACAGGAGCAGUAGCAGCAGCAGCAAUUGGCUGUUGUUGUUUGCUUGCCCUGUGGAGGAACCCGGCAACGGGAACCAGCUCGCGUACACCGGCGGUGGUCCGGGAAAGAGUUUUCUUUUCUGUUUAAGGCGCCGUGACCCUGGAAGCCAUUGGCAGAGCGAAAGGGUGUUGGUAUCACGGUUUGCCGUAGAGCGCCGCGGUUCUUGCGGCGUCCCGCGUGCCACCGCCGGUCCUUGAAACCGCGAGGCAGGUAACUCCGGCUGUGCUCUGUCACGGACACGGGCUUGCUCGGCCGUGGCAGAGCCAGAUUUCGAUCCAGUGCGUACCCAUAUCCGCAGCAG